rnacentral:rRNA from 1 species
CCUACGGGAGGCAGCAGUGGGGAAUAUUGGUCAAUGGAGGAAACUCUGAACCAGCAACGCCGCGUGAGUGAUGAAGGUCUUCGGAUUGUAAAGUUCUUUUCUAAGGGAAGCAGAUAGUGACGGUACCUUCGGAAUAAGCCUCGGCUAACUACGUGCCAGCAGCCGCGGUAAUACGUCGGAGGCAAGCGUUAUCCGGAAUGACUGGGCGUAAAGGGUGCGUAGGUGGUUUGGCAAGGUAGUAGCGUAAACCCGGGGCUCAACCUCGGAACUACUGCUAAAACUGGCGGACUUGAGUGCGGGAGAGGCAAUGUGAAUGCGUAGUGUAGCGGUGGAAUGCGUAGAUAUUAGGAGGAACACCAGUGGCGAAGGCGAAAUGCUGGACCGAAACUGACACUGAGGCACGAAAGCGUGGGGAGCGAACAGGAUUAGAUACCCGUGUAGUC